AUUGAACGCUGGCGGCAGGCCUAACACAUGCAAGUCGAGCGAGCGGCGGACGGAUGAGUAAUGUAUGGGGACUGCCCGAUAGAGGGGGAUAACUACUGGAAACGGUGGCUAAUACCGCAUACUAUCGGAUAACCCAUAUGGGAUUAGCUAGUAGGUGGGGUAAAGGCUCACCUAGGCGACGAUCUCUAGCUGGGCUGAGAGGAUGAUCAGCCACACUGGGACUGAGACACGGCCCAGACUCCUACGGAGGCAGCAGUAGGGAAUCUUGCACAAUGGGCGAAAGCCUGAUGCAGCAAUGCCGCGUGUAUGAAGAAGGCCUUCGGGUUGUAAAAUACGUUCAGCAGGGAGGCGUUACCCACAAAAGAAGCACCGGCUAACUCCGUGCCAGCAGCCGCGGUAAUAC
rnacentral:rRNA from 1 species